UGGCCCUGAUCGCCUUGAGCCCAAGGCCAGAGGUGGUGGCUGGCUUGGAAGGCAGCUCCUGCAUCCAUCCAUUCAGCAGGGGGGCAGGACAGCCACUGUGAAGUGGCUGCCUGACCUCUCACAUGGCCAGCACUGCAUAGCUUUUUGCAGAAAAUGGCAAUGUCGGCAUCAGUAUGACUUUCCAUGGGUUGAAAUAGCAAGAGCUUAACACUGUUGUGUUCAGUUUCACAGGGAAUAUGGUGGCUGUCUGCCUGCCAACCUCAAACUCUUUGGGUAGGUGGAAGCCACUUCGUGGAGACACAUGAAGGUGAAUAAAAAGAAAAG
rnacentral:lncRNA from 1 species